rnacentral:rRNA from 1 species
GACGAACGCUGGCGGCGUGCCUAAUACAUGCAAGUCGAGCGAAUGGAUUAAGAGCUUGCUCUUAUGAAGUUAGCGGCGGACGGGUGAGUAACACGUGGGUAACCUGCCCAUAAGACUGGGAUAACUCCGGGAAACCGGGGCUAAUACCGGAUAACAUUUUGAACCGCAUGGUUCGAAAUUGAAAGGCGGCUUCGGCUGUCACUUAUGGAUGGACCCGCGUCGCAUUAGCUAGUUGGUGAGGUAACGGCUCACCAAGGCAACGAUGCGUAGCCGACCUGAGAGGGUGAUCGGCCACCCUGGGACUGAGACACGGCCCAGACUCCUACGUGAGGCAGCAGUAGGGAAUCUUCCGCAAUGGACGAAAGUCUGACGGAGCAACGCCGCGUGAGUGAUGAAGGCUUUCGGGUCGUAAAACACUGUUGUUAGGGAAGAACAAGUGCUAGUUGAAUAAGCUGGCACCUUGACGGUACCUAACCAGAAAGCCACGGCUAACUACGUGCCAGCCGCCGCAGUAA